GAAAACGUGAAACAGAUUUUGAGGACCCUGGACGAGAGCCUACGCUCUCACCAUUGUGGAAGAUGCCCCAGGAAGAACAAAGCUCCAGUCAUCCUGUGUGCCCCGUCAUUCAUUCAGUUGGUAUUAAAGAGAGACUCUGUGAUGUUGCUGGUACCACAGCAGACACCAGGGAUGCAAAGGCGGCCCAGUUCCCUCAUUCAGAAAAAAUAUCAUCCAAAGGACACCUCACUGACAUCUGGCCUCCAAGAGAGAGGCAAGCUUCUGUGUCAGGAGAGGCAAACUCAAAU